rnacentral:lncRNA from 1 species
UGCCCCAUCUGGAAGUGGACCCCGGGCACCAUCUGGUCACACGCAGAGCCCCAAACCAGCCAGCUUUCAGUGUCUCCACCCAGAGAGAAGGUGACCUGCCUCUGCCCUCUCCAGGGUGGUUCCCAUCAUUCUACUUGAUCUGCUUCUGAGUCUCAGGCCACUGCUCGUCCAACCACUAAAAAUAAAAGAACCAGGAAACUAAAAAACAAGCCUCCGCAUAGGGGAAGCCUGGCGU